GGCGGUGUAGCUCAGUUGGUUAGAGCACACGACUCAUAAUCGUGAGGUCACCGGUUCGAGCCCGGUCACCGCUA
rnacentral:tRNA from 2 species